CUACGGGACGCAGCAGUGGGGAAUAUUGCACAAUGGAGGAAACUCUGAUGCAGCAACGCCGCGUGGAGGAUGACACUUUUCGGAGCGUAAACUCCUUUUAUAUAGGAAGAAGAUGACGGUACUAUAUGAAUAAGCGCCGGCUAACUCCGUGCCAGCAGCCGCGGUAAUACGGAGGGCGCAAGCGUUACUCGGAAUCACUGGGCGUAAAGAGCGUGUAGGCGGAUUAAAAAGUCAGAAGUGAAAUCCUAUAGCUUAACUAUAGAACUGCUUCUGAAACUCUUAAUCUAGAAUAUGGGAGAGUUAGAUGGAAUUUUUGGUGUAGGGGAAAAAUCGUUGAAGUUCAGAGGGAAUCCGGAUGCGAAGGGGGAUCUCCUAGAAAAUUAUUGCCGCCGAGACGCGAAAGCGUGGGGGGCAAACAGGAUAGAUACCCGCGUAGUC
rnacentral:rRNA from 1 species